AUAGUAUAAUGACAAUCUUAACCAGUUUAGCUGAGGAGUUACAUGGACCAGCGAGAAAAAUAUUUCCUAGACGAAGCGUAGUAACACGGUUUAAAGAUGAUCUCUGGCAAGCUGAUUUAAUAGACAUGCAACCACAUUCUAGACAAAAUAAUGGUUUUAAAUUCAUUUUAAUUAUUAUAGAUACAUUUACCAAGUAUGUGUGGGUAGAAGCACUAAAAAAUAAAACAGCAAAGGAGUGUACAAAAGGUAUAAUAAAAUAUUAAAAAAAAAUCAACCAAAAUUAUUACAAACAGAUAACGGAACAGAAUUUUACAAUAAUGAAUUUCAAAGUAUAAUGAAUAAGUAUCAUAUUAGACAUUAUUCAACAUACAGCAGUAUAAAGGCUGGUUCAUGGAAUUGGAUAAAUUCAAUUUUUAAAUUAGUAUAUAAUUAUAAUAAUACAAAACAUUCAACAAUAAAAUGUUCACCACACGAAGCUCGGAUCAACCCGGUUACAAUUAAAAGAAAAACAUUACAAAUUAAUACAUCAAAUAAACUUAAAUUUAAAAUUAAUGACAAAGUGAUAUUAUUAAAGGUCGACCUCGUAGACGAAUAAUUUCAGAUUUUACGUGAGUCUGUGAUAUAGCUGCAGAAAUAAGUAUUAAAUCUGUACGUUGAUAGUUGCUGAAUUCGAAAUCAAUUAUAAUUAUUUUAUUUUUUGGUUUUUGCCUGUAAUUAAACAACAUCAAUUAAUAGUAUCAUAGUAUUAUUUUUAUCUAUGUUACUAAAAUAUAUUUUAAUAAAAAUAAAAUACUGAUUUCAUAAUUUUUUAUUUUAUAUAAAAUUUAGAUUAUUGAAUGUACUUUAUAUAUUUUAUUGAUUUAUUUUUUUUAUU